rnacentral:rRNA from 1 species
GUGCUUGCACAUUCUGGACGUCGACCGGCGCACGGGUGAGUAUCGCGUAUCCAACCUGCCCCUUACUUGGGGAUACCCCGUUGAAAGACGGCCUAAUACCCGAUGUGUUUCAUUGACGGCAUCCGAUAUGAAACAAAGGUUUUCCGGUAAGGGAUGGGGAUGCGUCUGAUUAGCUUGUUGGCGGGGCAACGGCCCACCAAGGCGACGAUCAGUAGGGGUUCUGAGAGGAAGGUCCCCCACAUUGGAACUGAGACACGGUCCAAACUCCUACGGGAGGCAGCAGUGAGGAAUAUUGGUCAAUGGACGCAAGUCUGAACCAGCCAAGUAGCGUGCAGGAUGACGGCCCUAUGGGUUGUAAACUGCUUUUAUGUGGGAAUAAAGUGGCGCACGUGUGCGCCAUUGCAUGUACCUCAUGAAUAAGGACCGGCUAAUUCCGUGCCAGCAGCCGCGGUAAUACGGAAGGUCCGGGCGUUAUCCGGAUUUAUUGGGUUUAAAGGGAGUGUAGGCGGUCUGUUAAGCGUGUUGUGAAAUUUAGGUGCUCAACAUUUAACUUGCAGCGCGAACUGUCAGACUUGAGUACACGCAGCGCAAGCGGAAUUCAUGGUGUAGCGGUGAAAUGCUUAGAUAUCAUGAGGAACUCCGAUCGCGAAGGCAGCCUGCGGGAGUGUUACUGACGCUUAAGCUCGAAGGUGCGGGUAUCGAACAGGAUUAGAUACCCUGGUAGUCCGCACUGUAAACGAUGGAUGCCCGCCGUUGGCGC